GAUGAACCCACCACCACAGGAGGGAGGAAGCCAAACUCUGCACCUUCAUCUGCAGCACAUUACUACAAGUAGUUCACCUUCUCUGGGCUUGUGUGAAGCUGCUCGAGGAAUCAGCAGCCCAGAUGGCAGGAGUGUGAAGACCUGAUGGAACGCCUGGCUACACCAACACGAUUGGCUGAGCAGGAACGCUCUGAGCUGCAGGCCCAGUACAAGCACAAACUGGCCCAGACCCAGAAAGAAAGAGACCGCGAGGUGGACAGACUCAGAGGUUCACAGACAGAAGAAAUUAAAGGACGAGGGAUCGAUGCAGUUUCAAGCACACCAUCUCAGACCAGUGUUGAUUGAGCAGUUUUCCUCUUGGCUGGGGGAUCUUUCUACUUAGGUGCAGAGCAGACAUAAACUCUUGACCUGGAGCAGGGGGCACAGCACAGAGACAAACAGCUUUGUUUUCCAGAAUACAUGUGGGGAUAUUAAAAUAUUAAUAAAGUAUUCAAUUGAAUGUAAUGUGAGACCUUUUGUUCUGGAACAGUCUUCCAGGUGAGGUUUGUGAAUUUAAGUGGCUGGUUUUAAAAGAAGAUUAAGAAUGUAUUUUAUAUAAACACCUUAAUAAUA